GAGCUAUCUGUGAGAGCACAUAUACUAAAAUUGGAACAGUGCAGAGAAGAUUAUCAUGGCUCCUGUGCAAGAAUGAUGUGCAAAUUUGUGAAGUGUUCCAUAUUUUA